rnacentral:rRNA from 1 species
GAUGAACGCUGGCGGCGUGCCUAACACAUGCAAGUCGAACGGAGUCGUUUUGGAAAUCUCUUCGGAGAUGGAAUUCUCGACUUAGUGGCGGACGGGUGAGUAACGCGUGAGCAAUCUGCCUUUAAGAGGGGGAUAACAGUCGGAAACGGCUGCUAAUACCGCAUAAAGCAUUAAAUUCGCAUGUUUUUGAUGCCAAAGGAGCAAUCCGCUUUUAGAUGAGCUCGCGUCUGAUUAGCUAGUUGGCGGGGUAACGGCCCACCAAGGCGACGAUCAGUAGCCGGACUGAGAGGUUGAACGGCCACAUGGGGACUGAGACACGGCCCAGACUCCUACGGGAGGCAGCAGUGGGGAAUAUUGCGCAAUGGGGGAAACCCUGACGCAGCAACGCCGCGUGAUUGAAGAAGGCCUUCGGGUUGUAAAGAUCUUUAAUCAGGGACGAAACAAAUGACGGUACCUGAAGAAUAAGCUCCGGCUAACUACGUG